rnacentral:tRNA from 1 species
GCCCUCGUAGCUCAGUUGGAUAGAGCGGUCGCCUCCUAAGCGACAGGCCACAGGUUCGAUUCCUGUCGAGGGCG